rnacentral:rRNA from 1 species
GACGAACGCUGGUGGCGUGCUUAACACAUGCAAGUCGAACGGAAAGGCCCUGCUUUUGUGGGGUGCUCGAGUGGCGAACGGGUGAGUAACACGUGAGUAACCUGCCCUUGACUUUGGGAUAACUUCAGGAAACUGGGGCUAAUACCGGAUAGGAGCUCCUGCUGCAUGGUGGGGGUUGGAAAGUUUUGGCGGUUGGGGAUGGACUCGCGGCUUAUCAGCUUGUUGGUGGGGUAGUGGCUUACCAAGGCUUUGACGGGUAGCCGGCCUGAGAGGGUGACCGGCCACAUUGGGACUGAGACACGGCCCAGACUCCUACGGGAGGCAGCAGUGGGGAAUAUUGCACAAUGGGCGGAAGCCUGAUGCAGCAACGCCGCGUGCGGGAUGACGGCCUUCGGGUUGUAAACCGCUUUCGCCUGUGACGAAGCGUGAGUGACGGUAAUGGGUAAAGAAGCACCGGCUAACUACGUGCCAGCAGCCGCGGUGAUACGUAGGGUGCGAGCGUUGUCCGGAUUUAUUGGGCGUAAAGGGCUCGUAGGUGGUUGAUCGCGUCGGAAGUGUAAUCUUGGGGCUUAACCCUGAGCGUGCUUUCGAUACGGGUUGACUUGAGGAAGGUAGGGGAGAAUGGAAUUCCUGGUGGAGCGGUGGAAUGCGCAGAUAUCAGGAGGAACACCAGUGGCGAAGGCGGUUCUCUGGGCCUUUCCUGACGCUGAGGAGCGAAAGCGUGGGGAGCGAACAGGCUUAGAUACCCUGGUAGUCCACGCUGUAAACGGUGGGUACUAGGUGUGGGGUCCAUUCCACGGGUUCCGUGCCGUAGCUAACGCUUUAAGUACCCCGCCUGGGGAGUACGGCCGCAAGGCUAAAACUCAAAGGAAUUGACGGGGCCCCGCACAAGCGGCGGAGCAUGCGGAUUAAUUCGAUGCAACGCGUAGAACCUUACCUGGGUUUGACAUGGAUCGGGAGUGCUCAGAGAUGGGUGUGCCUCUUUUGGGGUCGGUUCACAGGUGGUGCAUGGCUGUCGUCAGCUCGUGUCGUGAGAUGUUGGGUUAAGUCCCGCAACGAGCGCAACCCUUGUUCACUGUUGCCAGCACGUUAUGGUGGGGACUCAGUGGAGACCGCCGGGGUCAACUCGGAGGAAGGUGGGGAUGACGUCAAGUCAUCAUGCCCCUUAUGUCCAGGGCUUCACGCAUGCUACAACGGCUGGUACAGAGAGUGGCGAGCCUGUGAGGGUGAGCGAAUCUCGGAAAGCCGGUCUCAGUUCGGAUUGGGGUCUGCAACUCGACCUCAUGAAGUCGGAGUCGCUAGUAAUCGCAGAUCAGCAACGCUGCGGUGAAUACGUUCCCGGGGCU